rnacentral:misc_RNA from 1 species
ACUACCGCACUCGCCGUCUUGCCGGCCGCACCCGUAAUCAAAACCCUACGCUGCAUCGUCUGUAUCCGUGUUGCCUGCCUCACGAUGAGGCGUUCCAAUUGCGCUUAUAUACACGUAUAUUGCCAAGCGUCAAUUAUGUGUAUAUAAGCGCAAUAGAAAUUCUGUGGCCUGCCGGCCGGAUGUUCAAACACGUGCCGACGAAGCCGUCAUGCAGAGGAAGAAAAAUGACAGAA